GACGAACGCUGGCGGCGUGCCUAAUACAUGCAAGUCGAGCGGACCAAAGGGAGCUUGCUCCUGGAGGUUAGCGGCGAACGGGUGAGUAACACGUGGGCAACCUGCCUGUAAGACUGGGAUAACAUCGAGAAAUCGGUGCUAAUACCGGAUAAUAAAAAGAACUGCAUGGUUCUUUUUUGAAAGAUGGUUUCGGCUAUCACUUACAGAUGGGCCCGCGGCGCAUUAGCUAGUUGGUGAGGUAACGGCUCACCAAGGCAACGAUGCGUAGCCGACCUGAGAGGGUGAUCGGCCACACUGGGACUGAGACACGGCCCAGACUCCUACGGGAGGCAGCAGUAGGGAAUCUUCCGCAAUGGACGAAAGUCUGACGGAGCAACGCCGCGUGAGUGAUGAAGGUUUUCGGAUCGUAAAACUCUGUUGUUAGGGAAGAACAAGUGCCGUUCGAAAGGGCGGCACCUUGACGGUACCUAACGAGAAAGCCACGGCUAACUACGUGCAGCAGCCGC
rnacentral:rRNA from 1 species